UCUCCGUUGGUGAACCAGCGGAGGGAUCAUUACAGAGUUGCAAAACUCCCUAAACCAUUGUGAACGUUACCUAAACCGUUGCUUCGGCGGGCGGCCCCGGGGUUCUCCCCGGGCGCCCCUGGGCCCCUAAACUCUGUUUCUAUAUGUAACUUCUGAGUAAAACCAUAAAUAAAUCAAAACUUUCAACAACGGAUCUCUUGGUUCUG
rnacentral:misc_RNA from 1 species